AGAACGAACGCUGGCGGCAUGCCUAAUACAUGCAAGUCGAACGAACACUUCGGUGUUAGUGGCGCACGGGUGCGUAACGCGUGGGAAUCUGCCCUUGGGUUCGGAAUAACAGUUGGAAACGACUGCUAAUACCGGAUGAUGACGAAAGUCCAAAGAUUUAUCGCCCAGGGAUGAGCCCGCGUAGGAUUAGCUAGUUGGUGAGGUAAAGGCUCACCAAGGCGACGAUCCUUAGCUGGUCUGAG
rnacentral:rRNA from 1 species